AGUUUCAUUGAUCUGCAAAAAGGUUCUCACUUUCUUCAUUGAUUAUUCUUUUGUUCGAUUCUCCUCUGCAAGUUCGUGUGUAAUUUGGGAUCAUAAUGUCCUAUGAGGAAAACUUUCAGCAAACUUCUGAAGCUAGAUAUGAUUGUCUUUUAUUUGAUUUAGAUGAUACUCUUUACCCUCUCAGUUCUGGUUUGGCUAUGGAAGUGAAAAGAACAUUCAAGGUAAGCUCUGUUCGCAUUC